rnacentral:tRNA from 1 species
AAAAAGUUAGUUAAAUAAUAACAUUAAUAUGUCAAAUUAAAAUUACUAUAAUUUAGUACUUUUUG